UUUGCUUCAGCGUUAGACGUGCUAAAAUUGGAAUGACACAAAGAUGCGAAUAGCCCCUGCUCAAGGGUAUUAUACGAAAUCGAGAACUGUCCCAUAUCCUU
rfam:Schistosoma curassoni strain Dakar, Senegal genome assembly, scaffold: SCTD_scaffold0005132